rnacentral:rRNA from 1 species
GACGAACGCUGGCGGCGUGCUUAACACAUGCAAGUCGAGCGGUAAGGCCCUUUCGGGGGUACGACGAGCGGCGAACGGGUGAGUAACACGUGGGUGACCUGCCCUCAGCUCUGGGAGUAAGCCUGGGAAACGUAGGGUCUAAUACUGGAUAUGACUCCACGGUGCAUGUCGUGGGGUGGAAAGCCUUGUGCGGCUGAGGAUGGGCCCGCGGCCUAUCAGCUUGUUGGUGGGGUGAGGCCUACCAAGGCGACGACGGGUAGCCGGCCUGAGAGGGCGACCGGCCACACUGGGACUGAGACACGGCCCAGACUCCUACGGGAGGCAGCAGGUGGGGAAUCUUGCGCAAUGGGCGAAAGCCUGACGCAGCGACGCCGCGUGAGGGAUGACGGCCUGGUUGUAACU